CUUUACUUGUAUAAGCCACAGAGACAGAAGCUAAGCCUGUUGCCCAGCUGUGGUUCGGUUGGUCCGUGAUAGGCCCUGAGCGGUUAGCCUUGGUUUCAGAUAUGUAUUUUAUUUAUUUAUUUAUCAGAGAGAAAGGAGCAAGCACAAGCAGGGGAGCGGCAGGCAGAAGGAGAAGCAGACUGCUUGCUGAGCAA
rnacentral:lncRNA from 1 species